CCCUUCCAUUCUACCAUAAAACCCUAAACAAUUCCUACGCCGCUCAGCUCUUUCCAACUUCUUCUUUUUCGCUAUGUAAAAGUGUGGCAUUUGGAGCAUCAGAGAUUCAAUCAGCUAUCACCUGAAUCUGCCUUCUUCUUUUUUUGAAAUCGCCCUUAAAUUCAUUACAUUAUCCUCUCAAAUUUUAGUUCUUAAAAAAACACUAAAUUUGCAGAAAAUGGCCAUUGAUUGGAUGCAACUCCCGCAAGAUCUCUUGCAAUCUAUUUCCAAGAAACUCGCCAUUUACAGUGAUUACGUCCGCUUGCGAGCCGUUUGCACCCAAUGGUGCUCCUCAGUCCCAAGGUUCCCACAACACCUCCCCGUCAAAUGCCAUGGCUCAUGCUUCUCCUCUCAGAAUCCCUCUACAAUCCCACCGCUCCUUCUACGACCUCUCCACUGACAAGACCUACCAUUUAGUGCUCCCAGAAACUUCUUUCCCUGAUCUUCACAUUGACUCCUUCAACGGCUGGCUUAUCAUCUUCGACAAUUCCUCUGCCAUCUUUCUCCUCAAUCCUAUCACCCGAGUCAAGUUUCAUCUCCCUUCACUCUCCUCCUUCUGCAACGAGGAUAUAGCGGGAAUCAUUCCGAGAUAUAUUGCGAGGAAUCAGUAAACCUCCUCCAUAAUCAGUAGCAGAAAAUGAGACAGAUGAAUUUUCUCCGACAAACAGCAACCGGUCACCCAAAUCUCUCCCUCCACCUCAGCCUCCGCAGCCUGCUCCAAUUCAUCCUGUAAACCUCCAAGGACAUCCUUCUAAAGAAUGACAAAAAGCAUCUUGUAGAGGACUAUCAUAAUCCACGUGGCGUACGACCAAGAACAAUGCGCAGCCACCUUUUCCUCCGGAAACUAAGAAGGCAAACCCGUCAGCUUCAAACUCAAUUGGAUUUGGAGAUUGCAUAUAUGUAGACGAGGAACACAAGUCACCUAAAGAAGACAUCCCAGUGCCCAUGUUUUUAGAACAAGCAGAAGCUAUGCCUAGUGAAACUAAUGAGAUGGAGGAGGUUGAAAUGAAGGAUAUAGUUGAAGAACCUGUCAUGGAUAUCGACAGCUAGCUGUAAUGCAAAGAAUCCACUCGCAGUUGUGGACUACAUUGAAGAUCUCUAUGCCUACUACAGAAAAAUGGAGAUAAAAUACAUUCUCCACAUGGUAUAUUUGGUGAUUUCAUGGGACAAGUUGUUACUGGUCGUACGCCACGUGGAUUAUGCUACUCCCCUACAGGGUGCUUUUGUGUCCUUCUUUAGAAGGACGUUCUUGGAGGUUUACAGGAUGAAUUGGAGCAGGCUGCGGUGGAGGGAGAGAUUUGGGUGACCGGUUGCUGUUUGUCGGGGAAAAUUCAUCUGUCUUGCUGUCUGCUGUUGAUUAUGGAGGAGGUUUACUGAUUCCUCGCAAUAUAUCUCGGAAUGAUUCCCGUUAUAUCUCCUCGUUGCAGAAGGAGGAGAGUGAAGGGAGAUGGAACUUGACUUGGGUGAUAGGAUUGAGGAGAAAGAUGACAGAGGAGUUGUCGAAGAUGACGAGCCAGCUGUUGAAGGAGUCAAUGUGAAGAUUAGGGAAAGAAAUUUUUGGGAGCUCUAAAUGGUAGGUCUUGUCGGUGGAGAGGUUGUAGAAGGAGCGGUGGGAUUGUAGAGGGAUUCUGAGAGGGGAAGCAUGAGCCAUGGCAUUUGACGGGAGAGGUGUUAUGGGAAUCUUGGGACUGAGGAGUGCUAUUGGGGACAAAUGGCUCACAAGCGGACGUAAUCACCGUAAAUGACGAGUUCCUUGGAAAUGGAUUGCAGGAGAUCUUGCGGGAGUUGCUUCCAAUCAACGGCCAUUUUCUGCAAAUUUAGUGUUUUUUCAAGAACUAAGAUUUGAGAGGAUAAUGUAAUGAAUCUAAGGGUGAUUUCAAAAAAAGAAGAAGGUAGAUUCAUGUGAUAGCUGAUUCAAUCUGAUGCUCCAAAUGCCACAUUUUUACCGACAAGAAAGAAGAAUUCACUAUUUUGCUACCAUAUUGUAUUAAAAAUUGUAUGCCAUAUUGUUUGAACUUUCUGUGUACACGUGAAGAAAAAACAACACAGAAGUAAUUUUUUUGAACGCAUUUCAUACGCGCAUUAAGUUUACCACAUUCAUAUAUUUUAAACCAUAAAUUAAUCUC